ACACACACAGACUGCUAAAUGCACACACAAACUGCUAAAUACACACACAGACUGCUGAAUACAUACAUAGACAGACUGCUGAGUACACACAGACAGACUGCUGAAUACAUGCACACAGUCUGCUGAAUACAUGCACACAGUCGGCUGAAUACAUGCACACAGUCUGCUGAAUACAUGCACACAGUUGGCUGAAUACUCGUACACAAACAUAAG